UCAGGUCCCUAUUGCAAUUAAUCAGAAAGUGUUUAGUGGUCGGGUGUGGUGGCUCAUGCCUCUAAUCCCAACACUUUGGGAGGUAGAGGUGGGAGGAUCGCUUGAGGUCAGGAAUUCAAGACCAUCUUGGCCAACAUGGUGAAACCCUGUCUCUACUGAAAAUACAAAAAUUAGCCAGACGUGGUGGCCAGGUGCAGCAGCUCACACCUGUAAUCCCAG
rnacentral:lncRNA from 1 species